rnacentral:rRNA from 1 species
AGCGAACGCUGGCGGCAGGCCUAACACAUGCAAGUCGAACGAACCCUUCGGGGUUAGUGGCGGACGGGUGAGUAACACGUGGGAACGUGCCUUUAGGUUCGGAAUAACUCAGGGAAACUUGUGCUAAUACCGAAUGUGCCCUUCGGGGGAAAGAUUUAUCGCCUUUAGAGCGGCCCGCGUCUGAUUAGCUAGUUGGUGAGGUAAUGGCUCACCAAGGCUACGAUCAGUAGCUGGUCUGAGAGGAUGACCAGCCACAUUGGGACUGAGACACGGCCCAAACUCCUACGGGAGGCAGCAGUGGGGAAUCUUGCGCAAUGGGCGAAAGCCAGACGCAGCCAUGCCGCGUGGUUGAUGAAGGUCUUAGGAUUGUAAAAUCCUUUCACCGGUGAAGAUAAUGACUGUAGCCGGAGAAGAAGCCCCGGCUAACUUCGUGCCAGCCGCCGAGUAAGAC